rnacentral:rRNA from 1 species
CAAGUCGAGCGAGAAGACGUAGCAAUACGUUUGUAAAGCGGCGAACGGGUGAGGAAUACAUGGGUAACCUACCCUCGAGUGGGGAAUAACUAGCCGAAAGGUUAGCUAAUACCGCAUACGACUCUUGGUCUGCGGAUCGAGAGGGAAAGCGAUACCGUGGGUAUCGCGCUCUUGGAUGGGCUCAUGUCCUAUCAGCUUGUUGGUGAGGUAAUGGCUCACCAAGGCUUCGACGGGUAGCUGGUCUGAGAGGACGAUCAGCCACACUGGCACUGCGACACGGGCCAGACUCCUACGGGAGGCAGCAGUAAGGAAUAUUGCGCAAUGGGCGACAGCCUGACGCAGCGACGCCGCGUGGGGGAUGAAGGUCUUCGGAUUGUAAACCCCUUUCGGCAGGGAAGAUGGAACGGGCAACCGUUCGGACGGUACCUGCAGAAGCAGCCACGGCUAACUUCGUGCCAGCAGCCGCGGUAAUACGAAGGUGGCAAGCGUUGUUCGGAUUUACUGGGCGUACAGGGAGCGUAGGCGGUUGGGUAAGCCCUCCGUGAAAUCUCCGGGCCUAACCCGGAAAGUGCGGAGGGGACUGCUCGGCUAGAGGAUGGGAGAGGAGCGCGGAAUUCCCGGUGUAGCGGUGAAAUGCGUAGAGAUCGGGAGGAAGGCCGGUGGCGAAGGCGGCGCUCUGGAACAUUUCUGACGCUGAGGCUCGAAAGCGUGGGGGAGCAAACAGGAUUAGAUACCCUGGUAGUCCACGCCUUAAACGAUGGAUACUAAGUGUCGGCGGGUUACCGCCGGUGCCGCA